CCUACGGGAGGCUGCAGUGGGGAAUAUUGGGCAAUGGGCGCAAGCCUGACCCAGCAACGCCGCGUGAAGGAAGAAGGCUUUCGGCUUGUAAACUUCUGUCGACAGGGAAGAGCAGAAGACGGUACCUGUCGAAUAAGCCACGGCUAACCACGCGCCAGCAGCCGCGGUAAUACGUAGGUGGCAAGCGUUGUCCGGAUUUACUGGGUGUAAAGGGCGGGUAGCCGGGCUGACAAGUCAGAUGUGAACUCCGGGGGCUCAACCCCCGAACUGCAUUUGAAACUGUUGGUCUUGAGUACAGGAGAGGCAGGCGGAAUUCCUAGUGUAGCGGUGAAAUGCGUAGAUAUUAGGAGGAACACCAGUGGCGAAGGCGGCCUGCUGGACGGCGACUGACGGUGAGGCGCGAAGGCGUGGGGAGCAAACAGGAUUAGAUACCCCAGUAGUC
rnacentral:rRNA from 1 species